rnacentral:sRNA from 1 species
GCCAGGCUUGGUGACUGCAUCCCUGAUAUCCCAGCUAUUUGGAAGGAUGAGGCGGGAGGAUUGCUUGAGCCCAGGAGUUUGAGGCCUGCUUGGGCAACAUAGUGAGAUCCUGUUUCAA